UAUUGGUCAAUGGGCGGGAGCCUGAACCAGCCAAGUCGCGUGAGGGAAGACGGUCCUAUGGAUUGUAAACCUCUUUAGGCGGGGAGCAAUGCCGGGCACGCGUGCCCGGAGGGAGAGUACCCGCAGAAUAAGCAUCGGCUAACUCCGUGCCAGCAGCCGCGGUAAUACGGAGGAUGCGAGCGUUAUCCGGAUUUAUUGGGUUUAAAGGGUGCGUAGGCGGAUUCUUAAGUCAGCGGUAAAAUGUCCGGGCUCAACCCGGGCCGGCCGUUGAAACUGGCAGUCUCGAGUUGGAGAGAAGUAUGCGGAAUGCGCGGUGUAGCGGUGAAAUGCAUAGAUAUCGCGCAGAACUCCGAUUGCGAAGGCAGCAUGCCGGCUCCACACUGACGCUGAGGCACGAAAGCGUGGGUAUCG
rnacentral:rRNA from 1 species